GACCUCCCGGGAAGUCCU
rnacentral:snRNA from 1 species